UACUCCUACGGGAGGCAGCAGUAAGGAAUAUUGGUCAAUGGGCGGAAGCCUGAACCAGCCAUGCCGCGUGCAGGAUGACUGCCCUAUGGGUUGUAAACUGCUUUUGUCCGGGAAUAAACCUCCUUACGAGUAGGGAGCUGAAUGUACCG
rnacentral:rRNA from 1 species